rnacentral:rRNA from 1 species
AUUGAACGCUGGCGGCAGGCCUAACACAUGCAAGUCGAGCGGAUGAAGGGAGCCUGCUCCUGGAUUCAGCGGCGGACGGGUGAGUAAUGCCUAGGAAUCUGCCUGGUAGUGGGGGAUAACGUCCGGAAACGGGCGCUAAUACCGCAUACGUCCUGAGGGAGAAAGUGGGGGAUCUUCGGACCUCACGCUAUCAGAUGAGCCUAGGUCGGAUUAGCUAGUUGGUGGGGUAAAGGCCUACCAAGGCGACGAUCCGUAACUGGUCUGAGAGGAUGAUCAGUCACACUGGAACUGAGACACGGUCCAGACUCCUACGGGAGGCAGCAGUGGGGAAUAUUGGACUAUGGGCGAAAGCCUGAUCCAGCCAUGCCGCGUGUGUGAAGAAGGUCUUCGGAUUGUAAAGCACUUUAAGUUGGGAGGAAGGGCAGUAAGUUAAUACCUUGCUGUUUUGACGUUACCAACAGAAUAAGCACCGGCUAACUUCGUG